AUUGAACGCUGGCGGCAUGCUUUACACAUGCAAGUCGAACGGUAACAGGCCGCAAGGUGCUGACGAGUGGCGAACGGGUGGGUAAUGCAUCGGAACGUGCCCAGUCGUGGGGGAUAACUACUCGAAAGAGUAGCUAAUACCGCAUACGAUCUAUGGAUGAAAGCGGGGGACCGUAAGGCCUCGCGCGAUUGGAGCGGCCGAUGUCAGAUUAGGUAGUUGGUGGGGUAAAGGCUCACCAAGCCAACGAUCUGUAGCUGGUCUGAGAGGACGACCAGCCACACUGGGACUGAGACACGGCCCAGACUCCUACGGGAGGCAGCAGUGGGGAAUUUUGGACAAUGGGCGCAAGCCUGAUCCAGCAAUGCCGCGUGCAGGAAGAAGGCCUUCGGGUUGUAAACUGCUUUUGUACGGAACGAAACGGCUCUGGUUAAUACCCGGGGCUAAUGACGGUACCGUAAGAAUAAGCACCGGCUAACUACGUG
rnacentral:rRNA from 1 species